rnacentral:rRNA from 1 species
UACGGAGGGUGCAAGCGUUAUCCGGAUUCACUGGGUUUAAAGGGUGCGUAGGUGGGUUGGUAAGUCAGUGGUGAAAUCUCCAGGCUUAACUUGGAAACUGCCAUUGAUACUAUCAAUCUUGAAUACCGUGGAGGUCAGCGGAAUAUGUCAUGUAGCGGUGAAAUGCUUAGAUAUGAUAUAGAACACCAAUUGCGAAGGCAGCUGGCUACACGAAUAUUGACACUGAUGCACGAAAGCGUGGGGAUCAAACAGG